rnacentral:misc_RNA from 1 species
UCCGGUUUGACACCGGCAGUCCCGCUAGAGUGCGCGUCCCGAAGGACGUUGGCAACUAGAGGCAGGGGUUUCGCUCGUUAGAGGACUUAACCCGACACUUCACAGCACGAGCUGACGACAGCCAUGCAGCACCUGUGCACGUUCCACCUUGCGGUGUCAGUCCCCUUUCAGGGACCUAAUCCGUGCAUGUCAAGCCUUGGAUAAGGUUCUUCGCGUUGCUUCGAAUUAAGCCACAUCCUCCACCGCUUGUGUGAGCCCCCGUCAAUUUCUUUGAGUUUCAGCCUUGCGACCAUACUCCCCAGGCGGAGCACUUAACACUUUCGCUACGACCGAAAGCCUGUGCAGGCCUACGAUCUAGUGCUCAUCGUUUACAGCUAGGACUAC